rnacentral:pre_miRNA from 1 species
UCUAAUGGCUGCAAUCAACAUUCAUUGCUGUCGGUGGGUUUCCAUGCUAUCAACUCACUGACCAAUGAAUGCAAACUGCGGACCAA